rnacentral:pre_miRNA from 1 species
AAAAAAUUCGGACCGUCAGUCUACCGAGCAAUAUAAUCUGCUCGGUGCAAUAUCUUCCCUUUGUCGU